CACUGCUCGGGUCGGGCUGGGUAUCGGUCGGCGGGUGAGGAUACUCCCUAAAUGACCAGAAGAGCUCUGUUUCGGACCAGCUGUUACUGCUUGUCUGUCAGCUGUGGUUUCUGAAGGUUUUAACAGGCAGCCGAAGUUUGUGUGCUUUUCUAGCUUUUGUGGCAGUAAUAACUGAAGAUCUGCAACUGAAGAACUUAUAGAAAGAUGGUUUCCGGGGAGUCCUUCCAACUGCACCAAGUUUAGGAAAGCCGAAUCUGCUAAUGCUAAAAACAGCUGAGAAAGAGGGCUCACUGGUGACCAGAUAAACCAUCCAGGCAAUCCUGAGACUCUUGGCCUUGACUGAAAAAUUGAUGUAUCUGUGGGAAGUGUGUCAAGGUUAUGAUUUGAAAUAAAUGUGGUUAAGACCAGA